rnacentral:rRNA from 1 species
UACGUAGGGUGCGAGCGUUAAUCGGAAUUACUGGGCGUAAAGCGUGCGCAGGCGGUUAUGCAAGACAGAUGUGAAAUCCCCGGGCUCAACCUGGGAACUGCAUUUGUGACUGCAUCGCUGGAGUGCGGCAGAGGGGGAUGGAAUUCCGCGUGUAGCAGUGAAAUGCGUAGAUAUGCGGAGGAACACCGAUGGCGAAGGCAAUCCCCUGGGCCUGCACUGACGCUCAUGCACGAAAGCGUGGGGAGCAAACAGG